GACGAACGCUGGCGGCGUGCUUAACACAUGCAAGUCGAACGGAAAGGCCCUGCUUUUGUGGGGUGCUCGAGUGGCGAACGGGUGAGUAACACGUGAGUAACCUGCCCUUGACUUUGGGAUAACUUCAGGAAACUGGGGCUAAUAUCGGCUAGGAGCUACUGCUGCAUGGUGGGGGUUGGAAAGUUUCGGCGGUUGGGGAUGGACUGGCGGCUUAUCAGCUUGUUGGUGGGGUAGUGGCUUACCAAGGCCUUGACGGGUAGCCGGCCUGCGAGGGUAACCGGCCACAUUGGGACGGAGAUACGGCCCAGACUAGAACGGGAGGCAACGGUGGAGAGUAUUGCACAGUAGACGGAAGGCUGGUGCAACAACGCCGCGUGCGGGAAGACGUCCUGCGGGUAGUGAACCGCAGUCGCCUGAGACGAAGCGUGAGUGACGGUAAUGGGAGAAGAAGCACCGGCUAACUACGUG
rnacentral:rRNA from 1 species